UUAAUGUUGUCACAACAAGAAGUCAGAAAGUUGUUAAAGAUGAAGAAAAGAAGGCAACAAAUCAUGACCAUGUCAUAGAGGAAAAUCUAGAAGUGAGGGAGAAAAAAAAGAACCAGAAGAAGUUAUACCACUAGUAAAGCCAACGGAAGAGAAAAAUAAAAAAGAGGCUAAACCAGUGAUUAAGUUACCUUACCCUCAGAGAGUG
rnacentral:lncRNA from 1 species